rnacentral:rRNA from 1 species
UGAGGAAUAUUGCGCAAUGGGGGCAACCCUGACGCAGCAACGCCGCGUGAGUGAGGAAGGUUUUCGGACCGUAAAGCUCUGUCGAGCGGGAAGAAAUGUAUCGUGGCUAAUAUCCAUGAUAUUUGACGGUACCGCUAAAGGAAGCACCGGCUAACUCCGUGCCAGCAGCCGCGGUAAUACGGGGGGUGCAAGCGUUGUUCGGACGUAUUGGUCGUAAAGAGCGUGUAGGCGGCUGAAUAAGUCAGAUGUGAAAUCCCUGGGCUUAACCCAGGAAGUGCAUUUGAAACUAUUCAGCUUGAUUAGGGGAGAGGAAAGUGGAAUGCCUGGUGUAGAGGUGAAAUUCGUAGAUAUCAGGAGGAACACCGGUGGCGAAGGCGACUUUCUGGCCCUAUACUGACGCUGAGACGCGAGAGCGUGGGUAGCAAACA